CACUGCCUACUGCAUCACAGGUCCCCUGACUAGCUAAAAAAAAGGACCCAAUUAAUAAUAAUGCAAUUGCUUAUUAUUUUCGCAACGAUUUCUGAAAAGGAAAUAAUAUUAAUUAACCGCUUUUGUUGAAGGCUUGAAGCAGAAGAAGAAGAAGAAGAAGUAGCCUUCUGGAAAUUAAAAAGCAGCCAAUUUUUCCGGUCUGGGUAUUUUAGAUUGAAGCCUUCGCGAAAGGAAACUAGAAUCUCGUGAGAAAGAGACGAGACGUUUUAGGGUUUUUGAAUUUGGGAGAGAGAAUAGUCGAAGAAGAAGAAGAAGAAGAGAUGGGAGGGUGUUUUUCCGACGUGAAAGGUGGCAAGCAGGCCGUGGGAGGUGGUGGGGCCCAUCAUCUUCAACAGAGGCCCAUCAACAGGGACGCUGACACAAACGACGCCGUUGAGCUCUUUAACCGCUCCCGUGGCGUUUUUCCACUCUACACUCCGCUUGAGUUAUCGCUGUCAGCCACUAACUUGCUUGAUCGUGAUAUUAUGUCAAAGAGUGAUCCCAUGGUUGUGGUUUAUGUGAAGAAAGGAGAUGGUAAGCUAGAGGAACUAGGGAGAACUGAAGUAAUACUGAAUAGUUUGAAUCCAGCGUGGAUUGAGAAAAUUACAGUUUCAUAUCAGUUUGAGGUUGUGCAGCCAUUGAUAUUCCAUGUCUAUGAUGUCGAUACAAAAUAUCACAAUGUAAAUGUAAAGACACUGAUGUUGGAGGAUCAAGAAUUUCUAGGGGAAGGCAAUUGCGUUCUUUCAGAGAUAGUGACCAAACAAAGUCGAAGUUUAACCUUGAAUCUCCAUAACAGAAAUGGGCGUGGAGGUUUGAGAAACUUUGGAACACUCACUGUCCAUGCUGAAGAAACUAUGGCUUCAAAGAGUGUUGUUGAGAUAAAAUUCCAUAGUUCUCAAUUGGAAAACAAAGACCUCUUCUCUAAAAGUGAUCCUUUCUUAAGAGUAUCUAGAAUUGUUGAGAGUGGAGGUUCUGUUCCAAUUUGCAAGACUGAAGUGGUAGAUAACAAUUUAAAUCCAAUCUGGAAACCACUAUCCCUGAGUAUGCAGCAGUUUGGAAGCAAGGAUAAUCCAUUAGUCAUCGAGUGCUUUGAUUUCAACAGCAAUGGCAAUCAUGUUCUUAUUGGGAAACUUCAAAAAUCAGUGGCCGAGCUGGAGAGAUUAUACAAAGAAAGAAGUGGGGUGAAUUUUGUCAUUCCAUCUUCUCAUGGUCAUGAAAAGGUUUCAAAGGGUCAGUUGUUUGUGGAUCAAUUUAAUGAGAAGCAACAGUUCAGCUUUCUCGAUUAUAUUUCCAGUGGAUUUGAGCUUAACUUCAUGGUUGCGGUUGACUUUACGGCUUCAAAUGGAAACCCUCAACAACAUGAUUCAUUGCACUACAGUGAUCCAUAUGGCCGAUUGAAUUCUUACCAGCAGGCAAUUACUGAAGUUGGGGAAGUCAUUCAGUUUUAUGAUGCUGAUAAACGGUUUCCUGCUUGGGGCUUUGGAGGAAGGACAGCUGGAGGACCUGUAUCGCACUGUUUUAAUUUGGAUGGAACUGCAACUGGCUUUGAGGUUGAGGGAGUUCAAGGCAUAAUGACUGCUUAUGCCAGUGCCCUACACAAUGUUUCUCUAUCAGGACCCACUUUGUUUGGCCCAGUGGUUACUAGGGCUGCGGAGAUUGCUGGCAAUUCUCUAUUCCACAACAACAAUAAGUACUAUGUGCUGCUGAUCAUAACGGCAAGAGAAGGAUUAUUUUUAUUUGCAAGUUUUUGUUUUAUGUGAUCUUUGUUAUUGUAAUAACAUAAAUGCCACCUUUUGUAGGAUGGGAUACUUACAGACCUGCAGGAAACAACAGAUGCUUUGGUGAGGGCAUCUGAUCUUCCCCUCUCAAUUCUAAUAGUUGGAGUAGGAAGUGCAGAUUUCAAACAAAUGGAGAUUCUCGAUGCUGACAAUGGACUGCGAUUAUCGAGUUCAACAGGUCGUGUGGCUACCAGAGACAUUGUACAAUUUGUUCCCAUGAGAGAAGUGCAGAUUCAAUCGCUUCUCGAAGAGCUGCCUGGACAGUUCUUGAGUUACAUGCGCUGCAGAGACAUCAUGCCUCUCACUGUCCGUGCAGCCCAAUCAUCAGCUCCACAACUUUAGAAUUGCACAAGCACAGCCUCGAAAUAUGUAGUCGAAAUUAAGCGCUGAUUACUUGGCAAUUUUCCCUCCCUCCCUCCCUCCGCACACAGCCAGGCACAUUUUCUCUUAUCUAUCUCUUUAAUCAAACUUCAUUUUUCUGCAAACCAAUUAUUCCUCUUCUUCUUUUUCAUCGCUUCCUUCUUCUACAUGCUUUAUUUAUCCAAGAAUCCAAACCCCCCCAACAUUUCAGAACCCAAAUCCCAACUAAUUUUCCAACCACCAAAAAGUAUGUCGUUUCUCCAGUAAACCAUCCUCUGCUUCUCUACAGCUUCCAUUUUAACCAAACCUCCCCAGUUUUCCAGCCUCCAAUCCCAACCCGACUCGAUGGAGAACGUACUCGACCCAAGAAUCCCCUCUGCGAGAAUUGAUCUGAUCCAACCAACAUGGCGAGACUAAAAUGCUUUGGUCCUCUCAGAUUGAUUGAUGCUUAGCUUGGUAAUUAAGACAAGUAGCUGCAGAUAAAGAAGCAAAAGUAGCAAAGCCUAAGAAACCCAAAGAUAUUAAAAUAGAAUUUGACGAAGACGAAGAUAGUCUGUGCUUCAGAAAAUGGGUUUGUCGUAGAAGAGUGGGCACCAUAGAAGAAAAUCGUUGUUUAGUGAAAAAUGAAAAUAAAAAUUUGAUUUAAGACAUAGAGAGACAAAAAUACCCUUUAAAAAGUAUAGGGUUGAUGCCAUCAUAGACGGCAGGUACUAAAGUGUUUUGAAUUUUAAUGUUAUGGUAUCAAUGUGAUAGUUUUUAAAUGUGAUGUACCAAAGUGAUAAAUGAACUUUAUUUAGGAUACUGUUUGUAAAAUUUUCUCAAUUGGAAACUUAAACAUGACAGUACUUUUAUCAGCUCCUUCAAGAGUUCAAGUCUGAA